GAUGAACGCUGGCGGCGUGCCUAAUACAUGCAAGUCGAGCGAACGGACGAGAAGCUUGCUUCUCUGAUGUUAGCGGCGGACGGGUGAGUAAAACGUGGAUAACCUACCUAUAAGACUGGGAUAACUUCGGGAAACCGUAGCUAAUACCGGAUAAUAUUUUGAACCGCAUGGUUCAAAAGUGAAAGACGGUCUUGCUGUCACUUAUAGAUGGAUCCGCGCUGCAUUAGCUAGUUGGUAAGGUAACGGCUUACCAAGGCAACGAUGCAUAGCCGACCUGAGAGGGUGAUCGGCCACACUGGAACUGAGACACGGUCCAGACUCCUACGGGAGGCAGCAGUAGGGAAUCUUCCGCAAAGGGCGAAAGCCUGACGGAGCAACGCCGCGUGAGUGAUGAAGGUCUUCGGAUCGUAAAACUCUGUUAUUAGGGAAGAACAUAUGUGUAAGUAACUGUGCACAUCUUGACGGUACCUAAUCAGAAAGCCACGGCUAACUACGUG
rnacentral:rRNA from 1 species